rnacentral:siRNA from 1 species
UUGAAAGAUGGUUGAUGAGCU